GACGAACGCUGGCGGCGUGCCUAAUACAUGCAAGUCGAGCGAGCUUGCCUAGAUGAAUUUGGUGCUUGCACCAAAUGAAACUAGAUACAAGCGAGCGGCGGACGGGUGAGUAACACGUGGGUAACCUGCCCAAGAGACUGGGAUAACACCUGGAAACAGAUGCUAAUACCGGAUAACAACACUAGACGCAUGUCUAGAGUUUAAAAGAUGGUUCUGCUAUCACUCUUGGAUGGACCUGCGGUGCAUUAGCUAGUUGGUAAGGUAACGGCUUACCAAGGCAAUGAUGCAUAGCCGAGUUGAGAGACUGAUCGGCCACAUUGGGACUGAGACACGGCCCAAGCUCCUACGGGAGGCAGCAGUAGGGAAUCUUCCACAAUGGACGCAAGUCUGAUGGAGCAACGCCGCGUGAGUGAAGAAGGGUUUCGGCUCGUAAAGCUCUGUUGGUAGUGAAGAAAGAUAGAGGUAGUAACUGGCCUUUAUUUGACGGUAAUUACUUAGAAAGUCACGGCUAACUACGUGCCAGCAGCCGCGGUAAUACGUAGGUGGCAAGCGUUGUCCGGAUUUAUUGGGCGUAAAGCGAGUGCAGGCGGUUCAAUAAGUCUGAUGUGAAAGCCUUCGGCUCAACCGGAGAAUUGCAUCAGAAACUGUUGAACUUGAGUGCAGAAGAGGAGAGUGGAACUCCAUGUGUAGCGGUGGAAUGCGUAGAUAUAUGGAAGAACACCAGUGGCGAAGGCGGCUCUCUGGUCUGCAACUGACGCUGAGGCUCGAAAGCAUGGGUAGCGAACAGG
rnacentral:rRNA from 1 species